rnacentral:rRNA from 1 species
AAAAAUUUGGCGGUAUUUUAGUCUAUCUAGAGGAACCUGUUUUUUAAUCGAUAAUCCACGAUGGACCUUACUUAAAUUUGUAAUCAGUUUAUAUACCGUCGUUAUCAGAAUAUUUUAUAAGAAUAAUAAUAUUCAAUAAUUUUAAUAAAAAUUUAUAUCAGAUCAAGGUGUAGCUUAUAUUUAAGUAAUAAUGGGUUACAAUAAAUUUAUUUAUAUGAAUAAAAUUAUGAAAAAAUUUUUGAAAGUGGAUUUAGUAGUAAAAUUAUAAAGAUUAAUAAUUUGAUUUUAGCUCUAAAAU